GCCUCUGAGUCAUUUUUUUAUUAGAAUAUAAAAUAUCAGUUACAUUCAAGUACCAAGAGAUUCCAGUCUUGUGAUAUAUUGUGGAAAACACAUCAUUUUAGGCAGCUUCAUGCCAUUUAAACUCUAAAAUGAAACAGAUGACAUGACAAACUCUUUUUUCCACAUCAGAAAGUAAACAGAGAUACAAAGAACGGAUAUUUUUGUUCCUAGUGAUCCAUAAAAGGAAAGAACAAGCAGGAGAACGGAAAGAGGGAAACAAUCUUAACACACAAAAUAAAAAAAUACAGAUGUCACAACCUAUUACAGCUCUACCAACACCAUUUCCUAUUCAAGCAGGUUUACCCCUUGGAGUGUAAACUACUUGUAUCAUUACUUAAAACAUAUAGAAACAGCUUAACCUGAAAAUAGACAUUUUAAGAUUUCUUUUAUUUGUACACUCAAGUAGCACUUUAUUAGGAACACCUGCUUGUGCUAGUAGUUAUUCAGUUAGCCAAUCACGUGGCACCAGUGCAGCAGAAACUCUGAAGCUUCAUUUACAGUGCCGUGCUGAAUGGUUGACCAUAAUGUUUGCUUUUAUUCUCGUUCCUCUGCUUUGUUCUGCUAACACCAGUGAAAACAGAGAUGAUCCUGUCAGAGCUCAACGUUCAGAUGUGAACAACACUUUGCUGAAAUGAAGGAAAGAGACCUAACACGGGGGCUGAGGUCUGGAUUCCUACAAUGUGUUGUUGGAUUUCUGGAUGGUGAGAUUAUCAAAUGCAGCCCAGAUAGCAGAAAUGCAGCAAGGAUUGAUCCAUCGCCAUGUAAAUGGUAGGUCAAAAUCAGCAUGAGCCAACCUGCCCAGGCUGCUGGUGUCAGUGGGGUAACAUGGGGAAUGUUUUCUUGGUCUCUUUCUGCCAGUAUAUUACCAACAACCACCAGUCACACUGGAAGGAGUCAUUUUCUAAUGGCUCCUUCAUCUUAAACGUGGUUUUAUAAAUAUGAGACUGAAUUCAGACGGCCUACGUUGUCGUCCUAACCAGCAAGUCUGAAUCCAGAAGAA